AUUGAACGCUGGCGGCAUGCUUUACACAUGCAAGUCGAACGGCAGCACGGGCUUCGGCCUGGUGGCGAGUGGCGAACGGGUGAGUAAUGCAUCGGAACGUGCCCAUUUGUGGGGGAUAACUACGCGAAAGCGUGGCUAAUACCGCAUACGCCCUGAGGGGGAAAGCGGGGGAUUCUUCGGAACCUCGCGCAAUUGGAGCGGCCGAUGUCAGAUUAGCUUGUUGGUGAGGUAAAGGCUCACCAAGGCGACGAUCUGUAGCGGGUCUGAGAGGAUGAUCCGCCACACUGGGACUGAGACACGGCCCAGACUCCUACGGGAGGCAGCAGUGGGGAAUUUUGGACAAUGGGGGCAACCCUGAUCCAGCCAUGCCGCGUGAGUGAAGAAGGCCUCGGUGUAAG
rnacentral:rRNA from 1 species